UGUUAACAUAAGAUACAUGAAUAUGUAUUUUUAUUACACAUUUUCCUAAUUUUCACGCGAUGUAAUAUCGGAUGCCAGCGAUGUGUAAACGUUUAUCUUUUAUGUUAUUGCAUUGUUUUACAUCUGUGUAUUUUUCUUUUUAAUUUUUGAUUUAAGGUAGUUUUAUUUAGUAUAGUUCUUGGAGUAACCUUCUACACUGAAGGAUCUUUCUGCUUAAGAAUUUGGUUGCACCAUGGAUAUUUAGAUUCCAGACUGUUAAGAUAAUAUGCAAGAACUUUGUCAAAUAGUUGCUUAUAGUUGCUUCUUUAUCUACUUCGACUACAUAAUUCAUUAGGUUUUGGGUAGUUGCCUUGAAUAUUAAUUUGGGGCCUCCAAGUAGGCAUGUGGCUGUGGGUGCUAUCUUCUCCUGCUUCUCCCUGUUCUAGCAGAAGGGUGUGUUCCGUUUAGUGGCGUAUACUACCUCCGAGCAGAACUAGAAGGUGAAUAAGGAGCAUUCUUUAAAUUUAGCGUAGCUUAUUUUGCAGCAUACAACUGACCAAAACAGUGGAAUCUUAUGGCCACCUGGAAUCGAUAGUAGUGUUGGGCCCAUUGAACAGUAUUUUGGGGUGUUUGAUACAGAGUUGUAAAAGCAUCUGGUGACGGUGGCGCCAGCUCGCCGUGAGUUGGCAGCAAAGAAUCUUGCGUUACAAGUCAAUAGUUCAAUCACGGACGCAACGGCGUCCAUAUUGCUCCGUAUUCAGUGAAUCUAUUACGGUUUUGGGUGUUUGUGUUGCGUUUUGUGAGUUGGAUGAAACAUUGCUGAUGUGGCAUACAUAAGACUCGUGGUGCGUUAUUGGACACGAAUGUUGUAAUGUUAUUGGUGAUGCGUUUCUUGGUUUGGAAUGCUAUGAAGUGGAACUUGUUCGUGGAGUCGUUUUCAGUACUGGUCAGUACCUUCGUGCUGAAUUUGAACGAUGUUAGCAACCAAAUUUGUGGAUUGAACGUAAAAUUAUGGAAGUUAGAAGGGUCUUUGGAGUUUUGUUCAAUUUUAUUUUCUCUGUAGUGUAAAAAAAAAAAAAUUUAAUCUUGUUUUCUGUGGCUUUGUUUCAUGUUGACUUGUGAAAACCUAGGUGUAGAUAAUUUUAUUGGAUAAAGUAAGAGUUUUCCGGAUAGGAAAAGAAGGGUCUCGGUAUACGGAAUAGUUAUUAAGGGAAUUUGAACUGAUAACUGAGUUUUCCGUAAAUUAACUAUGGCUUGGGUGAAAUCUCAAUGUUUAUGUCAACAUGUUUUAACCAGCGUUGUAAUCUACUAAUUUAUUAUGUCAGUUUACUUUAUUAAUGUAUACCUAUCAGUGAAAAUAAAUCUUAAAUUACCCCAUUA
rnacentral:lncRNA from 1 species